rnacentral:lncRNA from 1 species
CACACACGGCACACAGAUACACACACACAUGUGCACACACAACACAGAUACAGACACACACAUGUACACACACACAGCACACAGAUACACAUGUGUACACACACACAUGGCACACAGAUACAGACACAUGUGCACACACACAACACACAAAUACGGACACACACAUGUACACACAUGUACACACACACGGCACACAGAUACAGAUACACAUGUGCACACACACACAUGGCACACAGAUACAGACACACAUGUGCACACACACGACACACAGAUACAGAUACACACAUGUACACACAUGUACACACACGGCACACAGAUACAGAUA